UACGUAGGUGGCAAGCGUUGUCCGGAAUCAUUGGGCGUAAAGCGCGCGCAGGCGGUCCUUUAAGUCUGAUGUGAAAUCUUGCGGCUCAACCGUAAGCGGUCAUUGGAAACUGGGGGACUUGAGUGCAGGAGAGGAAAGCGGAAUUCCAUGUGUAGCGGUGAAAUGCGUAGAGAUAUGGAGGAACACCAGUGGCGAAGGCGGCUUUCUGGCCUGUAACUGACGCUGAGGCGCGAAAGCGUGGGGAGCAAACAGGAUUAGAUA
rnacentral:rRNA from 1 species